AACGGAAGGAGCGAGCAUUAUUUAAAAUGAUUGGGCGUAAAGGGUUCGUAGAUGGUUUUUAAAGUUGAAAAAAACAAAUUAAAGCUUAACUUUUUUAAUUUUUCAAUACUAAAAAACUUGAGUAUACAUGGAAGAUAAUGGAAUUUCUAUUGGAGAGAUAAAAUGUAGUGAUAAUAGAAGGAAGGCCAAAGGCGAAAGCAAUUAUCUAAGUAUAUACUGACAUUAAGGAACGAAAGCUUGGGGAGCAAACGGG
rnacentral:rRNA from 1 species